GCACGGUUGGUCUAAUGGCUAGAAUUCAUCCCUUCCAAGGAUGAGGUCCGGGUUUCGAAUCCCCGACGGCGCA
rfam:Phytophthora infestans T30-4 supercont1.28 genomic scaffold, whole genome shotgun sequence.